rnacentral:rRNA from 1 species
GAUGAACGCUGGCGGCGUGCCUAAUACAUGCAAGUCGAGCGAACAGACGCGGCGCUUGCUCCUCUGACGUUAGCGGCGGACGGGUGAGUCACACGUGGAUAACCUCCCUAUAUGUCUGGUAUAACUUCGUGACACCGGCUCUAAUACCGGAUAAUAUCUUGCACCGCAUGGUUCAAUAGUGAAUGACGGUUUUGCUGUCACUUCUAGCUGGUUCCGCGCUGCAUUAUCUAGUUGGUAAGGUAACGGCUUACCAAGGCGACGAUGCGUAGCCGACCUGAGAGGGGGAUAGGCCACACGGGAACGGAGACACGGUCCAGACUACUACGGGAGGCAGCAGUAGGGAAUCUUCCGCAAAGGGCGAAAGCCUGACGGAGCAACGCCGCGUGAGUGAUGAAGGUCUUCGGAUCGUAAAACUCUGUUAUUAGGGAAGAACAGAUGUGGAAGUAACUAUGCACGUCCUGACGGUACCUAAUCAGAAAGCAACGGCUAACUACGUG